AAUAUCAGUGGCGGACGGGUGAGUAACACGUAGGAAUCUAUCCCGGGGUGGGGGAUAACAGUGGGAAACUACUGCUAAUACCGCAUGAUACCUGAGGGUCAAAGGCGCGAGUCGCCUUGGGAGGAGCCUGCGUCUGAUUAGCUAGUUGGUGGGGUAAAGGCCUACCAAGGCGACGAUCAGUAGCUGGUCUGAGAGGAUGAUCAGCCACAUUGGGACUGAGACACGGCCCAAACUCCUACGGGAGGCAGCAGUGGGGAAUAUUGGACAAUGGGGGAAACCCUGAUCCAGCAAUGCCGCGUGUGUGAAGAGGGUCUUCGGAUUGUAAAGCACUUUUGGCAGGGACGAUGAUGACGGUACCUGCAGAAUAAGCCCCGGCUAACUUCGUGCCAGCAGCCGCGGUAAUACGAAGGGGGCUAGCGUUGCUCGGAAUGACUGGGCGUAAAGGGCGCGUAGGCGGUUUGUACAGUCAGAAGUGAAAUUCCUGGGCUCAACCUGGGGACUGCUUUUGAUACGUGCAGACUAGAGUAAGGAAGAGGGUUGUGGAAUUUCCAGUGUAGAGGUGAAAUUCGUAGAUAUUGG
rnacentral:rRNA from 1 species